CGGAGGUGCGGCAGGACAAUCUCGACGAGCAGGUCAAGCUCUUGGUGAAGGAGGUUAGGAGGCUGUCCUACCACAUGGAGGUUGUGGUCGACGAGGUCCUGGUGCUCGCCCUCAACUCGGAAGGGUUAAGGGGGCACAUUUAGAAUAUGGGCAGCUUGCUCAAGAAAGGCAGGACUCGCCACCAGAUCAUUCUCCGGUGGCUGAUUUCGAGUGCGUCGGCUCGAUCUGCAACGGCCUUCCUCCACUCCAACGCCGUGCGGACGACGCCAUGGAAGGGCCACCAUGACCAGGAGCAGGACGACGCCUUGGAAGGUUCACCGACAGCAGCAGCUACGGUCCGGUCUUCUCCACUGACAGGGAUAUGGACAUGGAGGUCCGCCAUGGAAGGCCUGGAGCUCGUCAUGGAGGGUCCCUCCUCCCUCUUCCCCUCCCUCCACUCUGUUGGUUGGUUGGACGGAAGACCACCGCUUGUCCGGCUCUGCUUCUUCCACCGCUGCUCCCCUCCCACCAUUGUGCCAGAGACGCUGUGCCAAGCACGGAAGAUCAUGUGUCGUUUGUCAAGGAAAUCGCUGUGAUUGAUCCCCCGGAGCAUCUUAUCUUUUUGUUGAAUGUGCUUCAGGCAUGAGGCAUGACUUCACAUAUCUGAGUAAGAGUUUUCAUUUCCAAGGAUUCUUCAGUCGUGCCAACAGACCCUUUGUCAUGCAAGUUGAAAUAAUCUAAUAAUUAUUACAGUUUUAGAUUAGAGAAGAGAAAGAUCCAGAGAUUUUCAUACCUAGAGGAACUCGCCUUCUUGAUGCUCCUUGCUUACAUGAGGUCUAAUAUCUGGGAGUUCGAACAAGUUGGAUGAAUUUCUCCAUUCCAGUUUCUCUAUGUUUACCCAAUGCCAAAGUAACCAGUAAAUAACUUACGGCGACAGUACAAUACAUAUAUGUACAGGGAUUUUAUGUGAAACAAGUUAACGAGCAGCUUCCCGAAAGAGAUGGAAACCAAUGGAACCUAUGAUAUGCACAUAAAUCAAUGGAACCUAUUCAAACAUGUUGCCUUCUCAGUCGGCUGGAGCUUCAUGUGGGUUAUUUUAUUUGGAAUCCUAUUUGCCGGGGUCGGAUCAUAUGCAGUGUACAAAUACAGUCUACAGUCUACAGGUUCCGUAAAAUGGCAGCGGGUAGAGUUCUUGUCCUGCACAAAGGAAGGUAUAUGGCUCGGUAGGACACAAGAACAGUCAGGACCAUGUACUAAUUGGACGAACAGUUGGGCCUAUGUGACACCAGUCUCUUCCAGCAUUAGUUCUUCCAGAAGUAAACUGUGUACAGGUUACUAACCUGUGGCUCGCUCGCAGCCGCGCCGGGACCCGUGUCUCGCUCGCAGCCGCGCCGGCACCCGUGGAUCGCUGGCAGCCGCGCCGGCACCGGGGGCAAAGUUUGAAGAAACAGGCCUCGCUCACCUGAUCUGACGGGAAACUUUGAAGAAACAAUUCAAAUCGACAUGAUCCGAACGCAAACCUGGAAGCGUGGAGAAUCGGGUCUUGCCCGCCCCGAUCGGAAGAUAGGAUUUGACAAUUGUUUGUUGUCUAUGGAAAGAGUAAAAAUAUUUGAUUAAACUGUUGUUUAUGGAAGCUUCUCGUGACGGGAUUUUUUGAUAUGAUUCCAUAUGAAUUGAUUUGAUUGGUGUCGUAAAUGGAAGGGAAGGAUGGAAGGUUUGUUGUUUUAUAUGGAAAGGGAUGGAACGUUUGGCUUGGUUA